UGUGGAAGGUAGAAUGGAAAUUGCAACAACAAAAUCUUAAUUCUAAUAAAACACUAACAAUGCUAAAUAAGCUUUAAUUAAAUUCAAAGAAACCUCAAAGGAAUUCCAAAGAAACAAUAAGGAAUCUUAAAGAAAUAUUAGAAUGAUUACAAACAUAUCUCAAAUAUAUCUCAAUUCAAUCUUAAUUUAAUUCUAGUUGAAAUCUUACUUCAUUCAAACUUUAGGCCAAAAACUAACUAAAUCUUAUAUCUUAAAUAAAAUCAAAUAAAAUCCUAAAUCCUAAAUCAAAUCCUAAUCAAACCCUAAUUCCUAAAAUAAAUUCUAACCAAAUCCUAAAUCCUAAUCUUAAAUCAAAUCCUAAUCAAACUCUAACCAAAUCCUAAUCAAAUCCUAAUCCUAAAUCAAACCUUAACCAAAUCUUAACCAAAUAUUAACUCUAAAUCAAACCGCAAUCAAAUCUUAAAUCCUAAAUCAAAUCUUAAUUCUAAAUCAAAUCUUAAUUCUAAAUCAAAUCCUAAUC
rnacentral:lncRNA from 1 species